rnacentral:lncRNA from 1 species
GGUUGGUAGUAAAUUUAAUGCAUUAUUCUUUCUAAUUUUCUAUUUCCAAUUUAACAUCCUGGUUAGUAUUCACACAGGAUAUCCAAUAGAAAUAGAAAUGAUUGCAAAGCUAGAAAAUAAUAAAACAUAUUUAAGUUUUCUGGUAUCUGUAUAUUCUUUCAUAAUAUUGGGAUAACAAAAUUUCCCUCUAUGACGUGUUGGUGUUACAUAAAUGAAAAAAAUGAUUUUUUGGAUUUUUUUUCUAUCUCUUAUGUGCUACAACUUCUCUCCUGAUACACAAUAGAGCAAUUAUCUGACUGCGAGACAUAACCGAAUUUUGACUUUUGUUGAUAUUUCUAUUUACAUUCUUUUAUCUAUUACUCUAAAUUUAGUCAAUUGUCUAUAUAUACACAUAUAUAAACGUCUAUAUUUUAUAUAUACACAUAUAUAAACCUCUAUAUUUUAUAUAUACACAUAUAUAAACCUCUAUAUUUUAUAUAUACACAUAUAUAAACCUCUAUAUUUUAUAUAUACACAUAAAUAAACCUCUAUAUUUUAUAUAUACACGUAUAUAAACCUCUAUAUUUUAUAUAUACACGUAUAUAAACCUCUAUAUUUUAUAUAUACACGUAUAUAAAACUCUAUAUUUUAUAUAUACAUAUAUAAAACUCUAUAUUUUAUAUAUACAUAUAUAAACUCUAUAUUUUAUAUAUAUACAUAUAUAAACUCUAUAUUUUAUAUAUAUACACAUAUAAACUCUAUAUUUUAUAUAUAUACACAUAUAAACUCUAUAUUUUAUAUAUAUACACAUAUAAACUCUAUAUUUUAUAUAUAUACACAUAUAAACUCUAUAUUUUAUAUAUAUACACAUAUAAACUCUAUAUUUUAUAUAUAUACACAUAUAAACUCUAUAUUUUAUAUAUAUACACAUAUAAACUCUAUAUUUUAUAUAUAUACAUAUAUAUAUAACCGUGUUUAUAUAUAUAUAGUGCAUCUAAGCUUUUCAUACAGUUUUAGAGGGGUAUUUUAAAAUAUUAAAUGAUUUUUAAUUUGAAUUUGAAGACUAUAAAUUGUCUUUCACACAUUUUCUUUUACAUUUCCUUCUUGUUGAGCUAAGCUGUUAGAUAUUGGUUUUUCUCAUAUAAAUUUUAAUUACAAUAAUAAUUACAUUUUUCAAAAACUGACUGGUUUUACAAUAUAAUAUUCCCAAGUAGUUAUACAUUCAUUCUUACAUAUUUAACUAUUUUUUUCUGACUAAGUUACAUAUUUAACUACUUUUUUCUGACUAAGAAUAUUACUUUUUUUCUGCUUAAAAAUUUUUUUUAUUAAGAUUAUAUAAUCUAAAAAAGACUUGAAAGUUCCAAUGCAGGAGCAGAUACAGGAAUCAUUCAAUAAAAUUGGGAUUGACAACAGGUAUAAGUUUAAAAGAGGUGUACUUGAAUUCAGAUCUUAAGCCAGGACCCGAAAUUAAAAUUAAACUGUAUUUGUUGAGCAAUUCUAAGACACAUAAACCAUAGGAAUUAGGAUAAAACCAUUCAGAAAGACUACUAGUUAAUUCAAUUGAUUUUCUGUUAAUAGAAAAUGCUAAUUAAUAAGAAUUUAUUUGUAAGAUCAGGCUUGAAAGUGAAUAUGUACUUACCCAAAAUUUCACAUUCCGUCCUACAUUAUCAUAUGUGUUUGCUUUUCUCUUUUCAACAAAGCUCCUGUUCACAGAGAGCUCAUGUCAUUUCUUUUGUUGAGUCCUGUCACCUUUGCCAAUAGUUUAUCACAGGGAUUUGAUAAAACAAUUUUAAAAUAACUCAGCUGGGUGUGGUGGCUCAUGCCUGUAAUCUCAGCACUUUGGGAGGCCAAGGUGGGUGGAUCGCUGGAGCCCAGGAGUUCAACAGCCUGGGCUGUAGCAGGACGAGCAGAGGACAAAACCUCACAGACACCGAGGAAGUGAAGGAAGUGGCUUUAAUCAACUGGAAGCAACAGCAGACUAAUGUCUCAAAAUCUGAGCUUCUCGAGUGCACAAUUUCUCUCCCUUUUAAGGGCUCACAAUGCUGAAGAUUUUACAUGAAAGGGCAGUGCUUGAUUGAGCAAUCUAGGGGGUAUGUGACAGGGGCUGCAUGCACUGGUAGUCAGAGUGAAACAGAACAGAACGGGAAGUUUCCCAAUGUCCUUCCAUACAAUGUCUGGAAUCUAUGGAUAACAUCAGUUGCUAGGUCAUGGGUUGAAUUUUAACUACCAGGUUAGGUCUGGCAGGCCCAGGUCUGGUUUUGGGUCUGGUUUUGGGUCUGGUGCCUGGUGCUGGGCUGCCUGCCUUUGGUUUUGCUUCCUUGUUUCUUCUUAAAACAGGUACUGAGCAUAAAACAACAUGGGGGUGUCUCUUUCUCUCUUCUCUCAUUUCCCCCCUUUGAGACCCUCACUUAUUUUAUUAGUGGGAGUUCUCACUUUCAUUUUCACUACUUAUGUCUUCCUGUGCAAUAGAUUGAUAGUGAUUCAUAUAAUAUACUUGUGCUGAAGCAUUCUGGUGAACUAGGGUAGCAAUGAAGCUUUUUAUCAUUUGAAGAAGUACAGGUAGCAAACAAGGGAGUAGUAAGCAGGUUCCUAUUACUAUUAUAACUCCUAUUAUAAGAGUUUCAAAUCCUCCUAUUGCUGGGAACCAAGUUCCAAACAUGGCCCCAGGAUCAAAUCCCUGCCACACUUGCACAGGUACAUGUGCCAGUUUUGUUAUAUCUUUAACUAUGUCUUCAGCUAAUUGCCCCUGAUAAUCUAUGUGUAGACAGCAAUUAGUAAGGUUAAAUUUUCCACAAACCCCUCCUUCAGCUGCUAGCAAGUAGUUGAGAGCUAGUCUAUUUUGGUAGAUAGCAUUUCUCAUCUGAGUCUCUUGCCGGACAAGAACAGUCAAGGCUGGACCGGUUUUAUUAGUAAUAAUUUCUGAAACAGCUUGUAACCAUAUGAUUUGGUUGAGCAUGUAGAUGGGGAUCUGAUAUACCUAUGAGCCAUCUUGUGCCCAAGUGGUGGGCCCCUAGUAUUGUAUAUUUCUUUCAGGGGGCCAUUCAUCAUCUUUCCUGUUACCUAUGGCUAGGCUUCGCUUUUCGCAGGAAGCAUAGACAGGGAAUCCUAGGAGUUUGCCUGUUUUUAUGGGCAGUAGGAAGAAAGAUGGUUUAAUACUGCCAAUUACACAACUACCUGUCCACUGAUCAGGUAGCUUAGCAUAGGCUCUAAGUCCACAUAUCCAGUAUAACACAGUAGGGGCUGUCCAGUCCCGGUGCAAUUCUGGAUGGGCCCAAAUGGCCUGUAAUCUUGGAUAUUUACUGAAUGGAUUUUUUUUUCUGUGUGGUUUGAACUCCACCAUGUAACUGUUUUUAUGGUACCAUUAUACAGUUUCUGUCCAAGACAACUAAGCAAUCCUACAGGAUGAGUGAAUUAUUUUCCUUCUCUAGCUAUGCAAUAUUGCCCAGUAACUGAGACUUUUAGAACCCAGAAAUUGUCAGGGUGGUUCUUUUGGGCUGGGAAUUCAUCAGGAACUGGGUCCGUAGGGACUAAUUCUCAGUCUUCCCAUGGCCAUUGAUCUUCUGUUACAGUUCCUCCACAGACAUAACAUGAAGUGACUUUUAAAGACUGUGCUACAUGCUCGGCUAAUUGCAAAAACAAAUUUCUAGUUUUUCCUGGAAUCUCAGGUACUGGCACAUUUAGUUCAUCAUAGAAAGUCUGAAAUACUGGCUCUGGAGAGCAUUUUUGAACCUCCCCUUUUAUUAAGAUAUUUACUCUAGGAUCUAGUCCUUUUCCAUCAAUGCCUAGAGAUACGUGCUCUCCUUUUUCCCACUUUGGGUCUGAGGGAUUUAUAAUUAUUAAUUCUAAAGGGUAGCAGCUUCCAUUUGUGCAGGAGGGGCUGCUUUUUCCUUUUUGGAGCCAAACAAUAUCUUUUUAAUCUUUUUUCCAAGUAGCCCAGAUGAUACAAGACCAGUACUGACACACAUUUGUACAUGAAUAUGAUUCAUGGCAGACAUACUUAUUUCCUGCUGUGUAACUCUUUUCCCAAUCUCUAGAACAGCAUCCUAGUCCUUGCUGAUUACUAUUAAUAGUGGCCCAAGUGUCAAAUUUUAGAGUUUCAUGUUUGGGGACCCCUCUUUCUUCUGUUCUAGCUAUUACUUUACUUGUGUCACCUAGAAAAGGACCAGUGCUUAGUCUUAUUUCAAAAACCGUGAUCAUGGGAGGUUCAGAGGGGUCAUAGCACACAUCUGGCUGAUCACUUCUUGGAUUACAUACUUUGUACUGAGUGUUAUUAUAUAAACAGGUUCCUUUUCGAGUUCCUGGGCACUCAUAAAAACUAUAGAACAAAAAGAUUGUCUUAACUUGUUGUCCUACCUCAGUGAUCUGAUGCAUGCACUGAAAGCAGUCCUCUGUGUGGGAAGAAGCAGUGGAAGCUUUUACCACACAAGUCCGUGUCAUGAGGAAAAUAAGUCCCACGACGAUUUUCCUCAUGCUUCCACCAUGUGUAGAUCAGUCAGCUUCUGGGUGUGACUGAAGCAGGGCUUGUGGUCCUCCUCAUGGUCACUUUACGGGGAUUGUCCAGGCUUGGUUUGGCCUCCCAGGUUUCAGUGGCUGCAGGCUUUAAGCAGCUGUGGUGAAUCCAGGCCGGGAUUCCUUCCACCUUUACAGCUGUGGGAGUGGUCAGGAUAAUGGUCUGGGGUCCUUUCCACUGUGCCCGCAAAGGGGCUACGUUCCAGUCCUGGAUCCACAUACGGUCACCUGGAGAAAAAGGGUGAACUGGGGAGAAUAAGCUGACAGGGUACCUCUCAUUUACCCAAGUUGCGAUUGUCUCAGUAAUUUUCCCCAAGGCCUGUAGCUGUCACUGCAAUUCAAUUUCACCCAACUCUUGGGGAGUACCCGGAAGUCCUCGCAGUAUAGGAGGAGGCCUAUGAUAUAAUAUUUCAUAAGGGGAGUAUCCUGUUUUCUUAAAGGGGUACACCUAAUUUUAAACAAUACCAUAGGAAGGGCCUGUAUCCAUUUUAAUCCUGUCUCUUGACAUACUUUCCCUAAACUAUUUUUGAUAGUCCGAUUCAUUCGCUCCACCUUUCCGGAACUCUGAGGUCGGUAGGCAGCAUGUAACUUCCAUGUGAUUCCCAGUACCUUUGCUGUCUUCUGUACUAAGUCAGCCACAAAUGCCGGCUCAUUAUCUGAGCCGAUCCAUAGAGGCAGUCCAAACCUAGGGAUGAGAUCUCUAAGAAGCACACGGGUUACUUCACCAGCUUUUGCAGUUUGUGUCGGAUAAGCCUCUACCCACCCAGAUAUUCCCUACUUUAUGUUGGAAGUUCUGACAAAGAAGACAAA